UAUUAUACACUAAUCUAGUAUAAUGCAAGUGACCGAAUAUAAUUUACAAACUUAUCAAAUACAAAAUUCUUAUUUCAGUACAAAAUUUGGGUGAAACCUUCGGCGGAGCAACAGUUUCUUUAUGGGCAUCAUAUUAUGAAAUCGGGUCUCGCUCGUAUGACGGAGGGUAUUUCUCAAUAUCAAGGCGUCGUCGUGUUUAGUAUGACCGAUUUGCCACUGGGAUUUGGCAUCGCUGCAAAAAGUACAGUCGAUUGCAAACACGCGGAUCCCGUGGCAGUAGUUUGCUUUCACCAAGCAGAUAUUGGAGAGUACAUUCGUUCAGAAGAUACGUUAUUGUAACAAAAAUUUACAUUCUUUUUUUUUAGGAAAACGAAAUAUAUAUCUAAUUUGUACAGCAA